AUUGAACGCUGGCGGCAUGCCUUACACAUGCAAGUCGAACGGUAACGCGGGGCAACCUGGCGACGAGUGGCGAACGGGUGAGUAAUGUAUCGGAACGUGCCCAGUUGUGGGGGAUAACUGCUCGAAAGAGCAGCUAAUACCGCAUACGACCUGAGGGUGAAAGCGGGGGAUCGCAAGACCUCGCGCAAUUGGAGCGGCCGAUAUCAGAUUAGGUAGUUGGUGGGGUAAAGGCUCACCAAGCCAACGAUCUGUAGCUGGUCUGAGAGGACGACCAGCCAAACUGGGACUGGGACACGGCCCAGACUCCUACGGGAGGCAGCAGUGGGGAAUUUUGGACAAUGGACGCAAGUCUGAUCCAGCCAUGCCGCGUGCGGGAAGAAGGCCUUCGGGUUGUAAACCGCUUUUGUCAGGGAAGAAAUCUUCUGGACUAAUACUCUGGGAGGAUGACGGUACCUGAAGAAUAAGCACCGGCUAACUACGUGCCAGCCGCCGCAGUAA
rnacentral:rRNA from 1 species